GACGAACGCUGGCGGCGUGCUUAACACAUGCAAGUCGAACGAAGAGCGACGGAAGCUUGCUUCUAUCAAUCUUAGUGGCGAACGGGUGAGUAACGCGUAAUCAACCUGCCCUUCAGAGGGGGACAACAGUUGGAAACGACUGCUAAUACCGCAUACGAUCUAACCUCGGCAUCGAGGAUAGAUGAAAGGUGGCCUCUACAUGUAAGCUAUCACUGAAGGAGGGGAUUGCGUCUGAUUAGCUAGUUGGAGGGGUAACGGCCCACCAAGGCGAUGAUCAGUAGCCGGUCUGAGAGGAUGAACGGCCACAUUGGGACUGAGACACGGCCCAGACUCCUACGGGAGGCAGCAGUGGGGAAUCUUCCGCAAUGGACGAAAGUCUGACGGAGCAACGCCGCGUGAGUGAUGACGGCCUUCGGGUUGUAGAGCUCUGUUAAUCGGGACGAAAGGCCUUCUUGCGAAUAGUGAGAAGGAUUGACGGUACCGGAAUAGAAAGCCACGGCUAACUACGUG
rnacentral:rRNA from 1 species